rnacentral:rRNA from 1 species
GCUGGCGGCGUGCUUACCAUGCNAGUCGAACGGUGAAGAGGAGCUUGCUCCUUGGAUCAGUGGCGAACGGGUGAGUAACACGUGAGUAACCUGCCCCAAACUCUGGGAUAAGCACUGGAAACGGUGUCUAAUACCGGAUACGAGCUUCAGCCGCAUGGCUAGGAGUUGGAAAGAAUUUCGGUUUGGGAUGGACUCGCGGCCUAUCAGCUAGUUGGUGAGGUAAUGGCUCACCAAGGCGACGACGGGUAGCCGGCCUGAGAGGGUGACCGGCCACACUGGGACUGAGACACGGCCCAGACUCCUACGGGAGGCAGCAGUGGGGAAUAUUGCACAAUGGGCGCAAGCCUGAUGCAGCAACGCCGCGUGAGGGACGACGGCCUUCGGGUUGUAAACCUCUUUUAGUAGGGAAGAAGCGAAAGUGACGGUACCUGCAGAAAAAGCACCGGCUAACUACGUGCCAGCAGCCGCGGUAAU